GGGGGUGUAGCUCAGUGGUAGAGCGCACGCUUAGCAUGCGCGAGGCUGUGGGUUCAAUUCCUGGCACCUCCA